rnacentral:rRNA from 1 species
GCCAUUAUGAAAAAUAGUAUGUAGGUUCUUCAAAAAUUAAGACUAGAGCUAAGCAGAGUCGGACCUGGUUAGUACUUGGAUGGGAGACCACCUAGGAAUACCAGGUGCUUGUAGGCG